rnacentral:sRNA from 12 species
AUCCUAUAUAGAUGUAUUCAACGCAAGCUAGUUGGGCAUCUCCCUUUAGGAUGAAGUUUAGUUAGAGGCUCUGGCGAUAAUUCUCAUUGUGUGGCUACGGUCGAAAUGAGAUGAGUCAGAGUGGAAUAGGUUAACCGUAAGACCUUGGGUUGGAAAACUCUAAAAUUGAGCUAGAGAUGUGAAUUUCUUAAAAUUCGUAGUUUCUAGUUACGGUUGG